UACGGGGGGAGCAAGCGUUGUUCGGAUUUACUGGGCGUAAAGGGCGCGUAGGCGGUCAGCACAAGUCAGUUGUGAAAUCUCCGGGCUUAACUCGGAAAGGUCAACUGAUACUGUGCGACUAGAGUGCGGAAGGGGCAACUGGAAUUCUCGGUGUAGCGGUGAAAUGCGUAGAUAUCAGGAGGAACACCGGUGGCGAAGGCGGGUCUCUGGGCAACAACUGACGCUGAGGAGCGAAAGCGUGGGGAGCGAACAGG
rnacentral:rRNA from 1 species